rnacentral:misc_RNA from 1 species
AAAGUGCCCCGGCCUGAGCCGGCGGACUACUCCUCUGGCCUUUGUCACUUGUGACUUGGGUUAAAGAGUCAACCAAUUGUGAAACUUCUACCUUUGCUUCGGCAGCACUCUCAGCGGUUCUCCGUUGGAGGGGUAAGGCUGCCAGAGGCCCAUAUCAAAACCAGUUGAUGAAAUGUCAUGCUGUCUGAUAACCACUAUUUGAGAAAUCAAAUUAUAUUA